rnacentral:rRNA from 1 species
GAUGAACGCUGGCGGCGUGCCUAAUACAUGCAAGUCGAGCGAACAGACGAGGAGCUUGCUCCUCUGACGUUAGCGGCGGACGGGUGAGUAACACGUGGAUAACCUACCUAUAAGACUGGGAUAACUUCGGGAAACCGGAGCUAAUACCGGAUAAUAUAUUGAACCGCAUGGUUCAAUAGUGAAAGACGGUUUUGCUGUCACUUAUAGAUGGAUCCGCGCCGCAUUAGCUAGUUGGUAAGGUAACGGCUUACCAAGGCAACGAUGCGUAGCCGACCUGAGAGGGUGAUCGGCCACACUGGAACUGAGACACGGUCCAGACUCCUACGGGAGGCAGCAGUAGGGAAUCUUCCGCAAUGGGCGAAAGCCUGACGGAGCAACGCCGCGUGAGUGAUGAAGGUCUUCGGAUCGUAAAACUCUGUUAUUAGGGAAGAACAAAUGUGUAAGUAACUAUGCACGUCUUGACGGUACCUACUCAGAAAGCCACGGCUAACUACGUG